rnacentral:rRNA from 1 species
GGGCCCGCACAAGCGGUGGAGCAUGUGGUUUAAUUCGAUGAUACGCGAGGAACCUUACCAGGGCUUAAAUGUAGUGGGACAGGUCUAGAGAUAGACCCUUCUUCGGACUCAUUACAAGGUGCUGCAUGUUUGUCGUCAGCUCGUGCCGUGAGGUGUCAGGUUAAGUCCUAUAACGAGCGCAACCCCUAUCGUUAGUUGCCAGCGGGUAAUGCCGGGAACUCUAGCGAAACUGCCGGUGCAAACCGAGAGGAAGGUGGGGAUGACGUCAAAUCAUCACGGCCCUUACGUCCUGGCCUACACACGUGCUACAAUGGCCGGUACAGAGAGCAGCAAGCUAGCGAUAGUGAG